UUACGACCACAUCACAUUGAAAUACCAGUUCUCGUACGGUCACGGAAGUUAAGCAACGUCGAGCCUGGUCACUACCUAGAUGUGUGAUCGCUAGGGAAUAUCAAGUGCUGUAAG